AGCGAACGUUUGCGGCGGGCUUAACACAUGCAAGUCGAACGAGACCUUCGGGUCUAGUGGCGCACGGGUGCGUAACGCGUGGGAAUCUACCCUUGGGUUCGGAAUAACUCAGAGAAAUUUGAGCUAAUACCGGAUGAUGUCGCAAGACCAAAGAUUUAUCGCCCAAGGAUGAGCCCGCGUAGGAUUAGCUUGUUGGUGAGGUAAAAGCUCACCAAGGCGACGAUCCUUAGCUGGUCUGAGAGGAUGAUCAGCCACACUGGGACUGAGACACGGCCCAGACUCCUACGGGAGGCAGCAGUGGGGAAUAUUGGACAAUGGGCGAAAGCCUGAUCCAGCAAUGCCGCGUGAGUGAUGAAGGCCUUAGGGUUGUAAAGCUCUUUUACCCGGGAUGAUAAUGACAGUACCGGGAGAAUAAGCCCCGGCUAACUCCGUGCCAGCAGCCGCGGU
rnacentral:rRNA from 1 species